GGGGGUGGAGUGAAGUAACUGCUCGCGAGAAGAGAAAUAAAGAGGUUCCGGAUAGUAGAGGGGCAGAGUAGCGAAAAGACUUGGAGCGGCUGCGCGGUGCGGGGGGGCCGGGGCCGGGGCCGGGGCCGGCUGGCGGCUACAGCCGCGCGCAUGGCUGCAGUAACCCUGCAGUAGGGAAAAGCAGGAAUAGAGGAGCCUGUCAUCAUGCAGACCAGGCUGAGAAGCUAUCUUUUCUUCCACAUAGCAUAAUUUCUUGCCACACAGCUGAAAAAAUGUGAAAUGUCUGGAAGAAUGUAUCUUUGGGUUGCUCUUGUUCUCUGUACCUCUCCUUUUUCUGCCUUUCUGUUGCUUGCCCUCUUUGAUGUACAUUUGGUGACUUGUUCAUAGUAUGCCAUGUAACAGUAUUUGCAAGUAGUUUUAAAAUGAGUUAAAAGAACACAUUAAAAAGUCAUGCAAUUGAGUAUCUGAAGGGACAAAUUCAUAGCAAAGUUUGAGCUGUUAAAUAUACACAGAAAGCCAUGUGGCACUCAGUCUUCUGACAAAUUGUUCUCAACCAUAGUUCUACAGUAUUUUUGAACAGUAAUUCAUCUCAUUUAUUACAGCAGUGCCUUAGGGCCAGUGGCAUUGUACAAACACAGUAGUCAAUUCCUGCCCUGAAGAGUUAACAAUCUAAAUAGAUAAGACACUUGCACUGGGAGGGUAGGGGUAGGACAUGCAUGGAGAGUGAACAGGGUGAUGGCAGCAAGUGUCAUGUUCUAUGAUUUUUGGAGUGGGGUGGGUUUACUUAGGAGGGGAUAAGCUAAAUGAAAAGAUAAUCGGGUGGGGAAUGGGACAGGUGAGAGGAGCUGAGGUGAAGAGUGAGGGAGAGGGAGCAAACAGCCAAUUAACACAAGGCAGAGAAAGUCUAGUUGAAAGUGUAGAAAGUGCUGCUAUAGUUUAAAUUAUAAAUUUGUCAUCAGCAGCUUUGGAGAAGAAUAGCUACCACUAGGUAUUUUCUCAGCUUUGUCAUGUGCUGUGUGGAAAUAAAACAUCAAUUCCAGCUAUUUAACCAGCUGCCUAGCUGGAAGUAUCUGAUUUUUUUUUUUUUAACUGAUUGUGUAGCAACAGUUAUUUUCUGGUUUCAGAGUAGCAGCUGUGUUAGUCUGUAUUCGCAAAAAGAAAAGGAGUAUAUGUGGCACCUUAGAGACUAACCAAUUUAUUUGAGCAUAAGCUUUCGUGAGCUACAGCUCACUUCAUCGGAUGUGAUUUUUCUGUGAUGUUUUCUGUGAUCCUAGCACUUCCACCACUAACAGUGGAAAUCAUGACUUAUUAUAUAUUAUGAGUCACUACAUUUGCAUAAGGAAAAGAAAAACAAUCAAAUUGCUUUAUUGGUCUUACCACUUGAUUUUGUAUGAUUUCUGGUUAGGGGCAUGCAAUCCUAUCACUACUUACUCUAGUGGUGUCCUUCUGCAAGGGAGCCACCAUGGUGCUUCAGGAAGAAGAUACUUCCCUUGCAAGGAUCCUCCUCCUGUGUGACAGUUGCAAGCCAUCUGGAGACCUAAAGCUGAGGAAAUGGCUCAUUAGUUCAAACCUGAAGAAGCGCUUUCUCUACAGUGUUGAUAGAGCAGUGGAAGAGUCUUGAAGGGAGAUAUAUAAGCCCUAGGCUAAUUAAGGCAUGGUUCCCUGUAGACUAGGGAAGGUUACUACAGAUUAAUUGAAGCACUUGUCAAUUAAGGCCCUGUCAGGAACCUAAUUAAAAAAACCCUGCUUCAGGUAGACAGGGUGGAGUGAGGAAAGAGAGAGGACUGAGUUUGGAGGUGUGUUGCUGAGAAUUGAAAAACGAGAGAUCUGGAGGAAGGGAGACUCCCUCCCCCAGCGUCAAGGACCGAGAGUAACCCUACCUCAGAGGGAAGAGGGUAAGAAACCCACAGUGGUUGAGAGGGGCUGGGGCUCAGAGUGAGGAGCAAACCCAGACCCCUUCCCUGCUUCCCUCCUCUACCACCUUCUUGGGCCACUAGUGGGGCCCUUGGUGCCCCAAGAGCAGGGGAAGAGGUGGUGUUCUAGCCCCCCUGCCAAGAAAGUUUUGGGAUCCUCCAAUAUCAACACUGGCCAUUUGUCACAUGAUCAAAAGCUUGUCCCUCUCACCCCUACAGAAGUUUGUCCAAUAAAAGUUGUUAGAAACCCUGUUUCUCUACUAUACCAGACCAAUAUGGCUACAACAAUGCUGCAUAUGAACACCCUGUGAGUCAAAUCAAAUUCAGAACACUUGUUGAGUAUGACACACCAUGCAAAAGUUGCCAAACUUCUAAAAAGGAUAGAACUCUCAGAUCUCUGUCUAAGUCAGAUACAGUGCUUCAAGGAUUUGCCCACGAUAGGGUUUACAUUGGGUCUAGGGUUUAAUCCCACAUAUCCAUUGUGAUUAAUGCUCAUUUCUAAUCCAGUGGCAGGUUGCCAGGUAACAUGCUGGUAUAUUUGCUGUUUCUCCUUCCCCUCAGUUUCAGGUGAAAUUAACAGUGGUAGGAGGGCUUGCUGAUGUCCUCUUAGACUUACCACACUUACAAAUUAUUUGUAUAG